rnacentral:rRNA from 1 species
UACGUAGGGGACCGAGCGUUGUCCGGAUUCAUUGGGCGUAAAGAGCUCGUAGGCGGCUGCUCAAGUCGAAUGUGAAAACUCGAGGCUCAACCUCGAGCCUGCAUUCGAUACUGGGCGGCUAGAGUCUGGUAGGGGGAUCUGGAAUUCCUGGUGUAGCGGUGGAAUGCGCAGAUAUCAGGAGGAACACCGGUGGCGAAGGCGGGUCUCUGGGCCGAUACUGACGCUGAGGAGCGAAAGCGUGGGGAGCGAACAGG